UGACUGUCUGACUGUGCCCCAUAAGCAUGAAAGCUAUUUCCUCAAGCCUGAGAGAGGGUGACAGAGGCAUGAGCAACAAAGGGACUUGCCCCAAAUCUCACAGCCACAGCUUUUAACCAGGCUCUGAAAUAGGACGUCCUAACCUGAGCACAUGAGGUUUGGGCCGGACGGUCCUGUGGGGCCUGCCUGGCACUAAAGGAUGGUUAGCAGCAUCCCUGGCCUCUGCCCACUGGAUACCAAGAGCAGCCGCUACUCCCACACAUCGUGACAUCAGAAAUAUCUCUAGACACCACCAAGUCCCCUGACAGCCAAGCCACCCCCGCCGUGCGCUGAGAACCGCUACUCCAUACCGACCCUUGAGCUCAUAUUUCAAGAAACCCCAAGAUCUUACCCUAGCCCCCUUACCUCCUAACCCAGACACCGUAAAUGCCUCAUGCCUACCUCUCCCCAAAGGACCUGCCCUUUUUUCAAGCAAACUCCAACCUGUGCCCCCCGCUCAAGGUCUUCCUGCACCCAAAGUCCCCUCCCCACCUCUGUCCUUUUCUCCACUGCUUGGAUGUAAUCCCAACAGCCUCCACCACAGAACGUAGUUGAAGCCUGGCCCUCAGUAUGGCAAGCUCUAUACCUGUAGCAUCGUUAGUAGAGAAUGCAUCUGUCCUGACCUGGCUCCUACCCCAACACCAGACAGAAGCACCUGAGGACCAGGAGCUGUGCCUGCCUCCAACACCCAGCACAAAGCCAGGCAUUUGGGGCCUAGAGCUCAAGCAGCCUUUAGGGGAGUGUGAAAGGCCACAGGCUAAGGAAACAGCAAGGCCUGGAACUUAGGAGGGGAUAAAAGUUGAAACCGUGAGCCAGGCGCAGGCUCAGUUUCCACUUCUGGAUGCUUCCUGAUUGAGGGCUGGUGACUCAAACUCUGUGAGCCUCAGUUUCUUCAUCUGUGAAACAGGGAGAAUAUACAGUGUCCUCACUAUGAGAAUGAAAUCAGGCAACGUACAGAGGACUUAGCGCUGGGGCGCAGUGUAGUUGAGAAAGCAGACAUAAUCCUAACGUUGCACAGGGAUCCAACGCAGAGGCCACGCCUCCACAGCACCUGUGGGGCUAGGUCAGCAGUCCAGGAAGCACCCGAACAGGAAUUACCACUUCAGUGUCCCCGAAGAGGACCAGAGCAGAGCAGUAGAAACUCCAGUCUCCAGGCCAGAGCUCCCCGCUUCCGGGGCAAGGGUUCCAGGUGCAGGCGGGAGGUGGUGGGAAGCUCGGAGCCCCGAGGCUCCCACAGGGCCUAACCCUGGAACUUCUGUAGCUGCAAAGAGGGCCUGGGGAACCAUGAUGCGAAGACGCCCGACCGCGGGGGCAGGGAGGGCGGAGGGAGGCCGCUGGGGAGGCCGCCAGACACUGUAAAUAAUUCACACAGAUGAACUGGAGAUAGCGCCACGCGUGGGGGAUUGAGUUCAGGUCCAGCAGGCUCAGACCGCUGCAGGGGACUUGGGGGCUCCCCGGCCAGAGUGGGAGCGGGGCCCCCGCUGCCAGGAAAACACCGCCCCAAGUGCGGACUCGGUGCCACUCCCUGCCAUUGAGGGAGGGAGCUCCCCGGAACUGCCCCGCGGGGCCACCGGCCUGCCGCCUCCGCCCCCGCCGUCUCCAUGGCAACCGGCUGGCCUGGUCCAGGGUUCACGGCCAACCCGAUCCUCGGGCUCCCCUCCCCAGCGGGAGCCCGGGCCGUCUCAGACUCCCUUCCCUUCACUCCUGGAGCCUCGGAGCUUCCGGGCCGGCAAUAGAACAACGUCUUGCCCGACCCCCCACCUCGCCUUAGGUGGGAGCAGUUGAGACCACCGGCUCAGCUCUGGACGGCCUUCCUGGGUUUCAGGACCAACUCCACCACGCUAAAACUGUGGGAUCCGUCCAAGGCAGGUGACCUUUCCUCUCUGAGCCUCAGCAUCCCUGAUCUGUAAAAUGCCAUGAUGAUGAUGAUGAUGAUGAUGAAAUUAAAUGAACCAAAAUGCAAAAAGUGAGAAACAAUGACUGCUCUAGAGCCAGCACACGUGACCCUUUGUCCUCAAAAAAGCUGUUUCUGGGUUGAGGACCCUGCUCCAGGCUCCAGGGGUGUGUGCUUACCCUGAGUUGGGGACAAAGCCUCCGGGGUAAGGGACAACAAGCCCAUAACCUCACCUGAACCAUGAGAAAAGCACGAGGCAAACCCUAACUGAGGCACAGGCUACGAAAUACCUCUCCACGGCUCCAUCAAAAACAAGGAAUGGCAGAACAGAGAAGCCCUCAACUGACAAAUACAAAACGGAGUAAAUCCACAAUGGAGAUGGCCUCGAUCGUGCAGCCCACCUCUCUUCCGGUAGGAACCCAUCCACAGAGACAUCCCCAUGCCUGCUGCCUCAAAGGCUUUAAAGCCAAUCUCCCCUCCUUCCUCUGGGCAAACAGCACAUCAGCAGCAAGUCCCCCAGAACCAACGUGGAGCAAAGAGGAGAAUGAGACACAGGAACAGUUCUUUAUUGUACACUGGAGAAAUAGCCCUGUGUGCUGGUUCAAGGUGCAACAUACAGAAUAUUGAAUUAUGAAAAGAGGAAACUG